rnacentral:rRNA from 1 species
GUAUCCUGGCUCAGGAUGAACGCUAGCUACAGGCUUAACACAUGCAAGUCGAGGGGCAGCAUGGUCUUAGCUUGCUAAGACUGAUGGCGACCGGCGCACGGGUGAGUAACACGUAUCCAACCUGCCGUCUACUCUUGGGACAGCCUUCUGAAAGGAAGAUUAAUACAAGAUGGCAUCAUGAGUCCGCAUGUUCAUAUGAUUAAAGGUAUUCCGGUAGACGAUGGGGA